rnacentral:tRNA from 1 species
GAAGGUAUGGCAGAGCGGUCUAUUGUAUCUGAUUUGAAAUCAGAAGUGUUUUUACACCGUAGGUUCGAAUCCUACUACCUUCU